CACAUACACAUGAUCACACUUAUUUCAUUCAAACCAGGAACCCAAACUUGUAUAAGGACAACCAUUUUUCAUUGAACAUUUGCAAAAUCCAGCUGCCCUACCCAUUCGUGUAGCCACACUAGGUAGGAAUGUUUGAAAAAGUUUACGACAUAGCUCAAAAGCCUAAACAGUUUCUUAACUUACCACCCAUGAGUUCAUCCUCGUCAAGGUCAUCAGGCACAUUAUAGCUUCUACCCAGAGUCUCUUGUAUUUCAUUACUUACAUCCAUCAGGUCCAUCAUCUCAUCUUGCAAAUUCUACAUGUUGCAUGGAUCAAUAGUUACGAUUUAAUGUUAUCAAUGGUAGCUACACUGAAACCGUAAGAGAAAAGAAAAUACAUUAUACAUACAUCAAUGUCUUCGAUCUUCACAGUUUUCAUCGAUACCGCAUAGCGAAUUCACCAUACCCCGUACGGGUUCGUCAUAAAGAAGAUCUCAUAAAAUUAAUGUAAAAAGUGGCAAACUGGAUACCCAAGUGAACCACAUACAGGUACCCACACCGUGUACCAUGUAACAAUGAUUUGACAAGUCCAAGCUACUUUCCACUGUCAAAAAAUUGUCCAUUCAACUAUAACAAUUUACAGUGCUUAAUUAUGCCUGCUUCAGUUUCUAGUAGUACAUGUUAUUUUGGAUACUGUGUUAUGUUUCAUGCUCUAACUCUUGAAGAAGUAAACCUUCCAUGACCUUGUCCAUAAUAUCAAGUUUUUUUAACUCUAACUCUUGAGAAACAGACUUAUUAUUUCAUGAUCUAACUCCUCCUGAAGUUGACAUCUUCUCAACAGAAACAGUGUCCAAAUUAAAUACAUGCCUUGACAAAGUUGAAUCCAAAUAAUAUCUUCAAAAGAUACAAGUGACAUGUUUUAACACACUCUUUUGCAGUGAGAUUUGACCAUGUUUUUCUGUCUUUAGAAGCUCAUUUAAGUACAGUUUAAAAGAUGAACUACAAAAAGACAAAAAAACAUUUUCUGUUAAGUAAAAAAUAAAUAAGGAGAUGAUACCUGGGCAUUGGAUCUGCCAGGUGCUGUAUGUCCUGCUGGAGCUGAAGGCAAGUUAAGCUCUGCAUCCAAAUCAGGUUCUUUAUCAGGCUGAAGAUAGGAGGGGACCCCAUCAGCUUCAGUCUCAAAUCCCAUGUCUGCUUCGAGCGCAUCAAGUUCUGUUUUACCAAAAACAAAAAGAAUGAAACAGAUAAUUUAAAUUUGAUGGGAGUCUGUUUCCUAAAAAAGUAUUGCACAUUAUGAAGAAUCAAACCAAUAAAAUGUAGCUGGUGACAUUUGUAAUAAGCUUCAAAUAUACUUCUUAGAACAUUGCACAUACACAUGAUCACACUUAUUUCAUUCAAACCAGGAACCCAAACUUGUAUAAGGACAACCAUUUUUCAUUGAACAUUUGCAAAAUCCAGCUGCCCUACCCAUUCGUGUAGCCACACUAGGUAGGAAUGUUUGAAAAAGUUUACGACAUAGCUCAAAAGCCUAAACAGUUUCUUAACUUACCACCCAUGAGUUCAUCCUCGUCAAGGUCAUCAGGCACAUUAUAGCUUCUACCCAGAGUCUCUUGUAUUUCAUUACUUACAUCCAUCAGGUCCAUCAUCUCAUCUU
rnacentral:lncRNA from 1 species